CGUGGCUCCCGUGGCCUUCUCCGCGUUGACCAAAGCCGCUAGAGGACCCACCCUCGAUCUUUCCCCAAAUCGUCAUUGUCCAUAGUGGAUCAAUCCAAACGACCCCACACUCCAGGUCCAAAACAACGGACCACAAUCAAUGGGUCCAGGAUGCUCAAAAGGUUUCAAACAAUGAAAGUCCUCGUUGAUCAAGUGGGAAAGAUCGAAAUUGAAAGCAAUGAAACCGUCGAGUGUUUCAAGGCAAAAGUUGACACUGAACAUGGCUUUCUUGGUCCAAUGCAGAGAUUGUAUAAAGAUCAAACACUGCUUCAAGAUGGGUAUGCUUUGAGCGAUUAUGACGUUUCUUCUGGAGACAUCUUGAUCAUGAAAUUGGAAACGCUUAAAGGGGUGAAAGUAGCCUUAGUCGGAAUCUCUCCAUCUCCAGCUGCUUAGGGAGGGGAAGAAUCGGACCAAGGAUCAAGUUUCUGUGGGUGUGGUAGAGAGCCAGAACCAGCAAGCCUUCCUCCUCCUGAUGAUCCAGAUAAGAAGAAAAAGAAGUAUUCCCCAUCUUACCUUGAGAAGAUGGGAAUUUGGAAGAAGAAAUAGAGCCAACGCCAAGUUUUCAUUAUAAUGAUGCAUCUUUUCAUACUUGUUCUGAAAUGAUCCAGAUUUGCUGAGACUUCACUUGGUCAACUUUUGUGGCGCUUUAUGUAAUUUUAUUAUCCUAAUAAACAAACGCCCAUAUCA